rfam:Myotis davidii contig205387, whole genome shotgun sequence.
AACAUAGUUCAUGUCACUUUCAAACGAUUAAGAAUCAAAUUGCGUGUUCAAAGGACAGUGCAAUAUAAAUUCAGUAUCUGGCAUCGUUGGUUUUCUUGGCUUUGUGCAUGUUAAACCUGGUAUUUUUAUUGAGACAUUA